CUAGGACUUUAUGUCCUCUAAAGAGCCGUUCGAGACUAGGACGUUGAUAGGUUGGAUGUGGAAGCAUAGUGAUAUGUGAAGCUGACCAAUACUAAUUGCUCGUGAGGCUUGACUAUACAACACCCAAGCAGUUG
rnacentral:rRNA from 1 species